CCUACGGGAGGCAGCAGUGAGGAAUAUUCGUCAAUGGGCGCGAGCCUGAACCAGCCAAGUAGCGUGAGUGAUGACUGCCCUACGAGUUGUAAACUUCGUUUUUAAAGGAAUAAAGUGAGGCACGUGUCCCUUUGUGUAUUUACUUUAUGAAUAAGGAUCGGCUAACUCCGUGCCAGCAGCCGCGGUAAUACGGAGGAUACGAGGGUUAUCCGGAUUGAUUGGGUUUAAAGUGAGCGUAGAGGGGUUGUUAAGUCAGUUGUGAAAGUUUGCGGCUCAACCGUAAAAUUGCAAGUGAUACUGGCAGGCUUGAGUACAGUUGAGGUAGGCGGAAAUCGUGGUGUAGCCGUGAAA
rnacentral:rRNA from 1 species